UACGUAGGGGGGCAAGCGUUGUCCGGAUUUAUUGGGCGUAAAGAGCGUGUAGGCGGCCAAGCAGGUCCGCUGUGAAAACUCGAGGCUCAACCUCGAGAGGUCGGUGGAAACCGUUUGGCUAGAGUCCGGAAGAGGAGAGUGGAAUUCCCGGUGUAGCGGUGAAAUGCGCAGAUAUCAGGAGGAACACCAAUGGCGAAGGCAGCUCGCUGGGACGGUACUGACGCUGAGACGCGAAAGCGUGGGGAGCAAACAGG
rnacentral:rRNA from 1 species